GGGCAUUUGGUCUAGUGGUAUGAUUCUCGCUUUGGAUGUGAGAGGUCCCGAGUUCCAUUCUCGGAAUGCCUC
rfam:Hordeum vulgare subsp. vulgare, WGS project CAJW01000000 data, contig: morex_contig_277758